rnacentral:rRNA from 2 species
UGAGACCUCAGGUCAGGCGGGGCUACCCGCUGAAUUUAAGCAUAUCA